AGAUCACCAAGGAAAUCAAGCUCGUUUGGUACGGACUGAAUCGGUACCAUGUGACAUCAACAACCCGCUCAGGUACACAGACCUGCACAUCAGUCAGACGCUGCCCAAAACCAACAAAAUCAACAAGGAUCACAUCCCUGUCCCGUACCAGCCAGACUCCAGCAGUAACCCCUCCUCCACCACCUCCUCCACCCCUUCCUCACCCGCUCCACCCCUCCCUUCCAGUG